AGUGAACACUGGCGGCAGGCCUAACACAUGCAAGUCGAACGGCAGCACAGUAAGAGCUUGCUCUUACGGGUGGCGAGUGGCGGACGGGUGAGGAAUACAUCGGAAUCUACUUUUUCGUGGGGGAUAACGUAGGGAAACUUACGCUAAUACCGCAUACGACCUACGGGUGAAAGCAGGGGAUCUUCGGACCUUGCGCGAUUGAAUGAGCCGAUGUCGGAUUAGCUAGUUGGCGGGGUAAAGGCCCACCAAGGCGACGAUCCGUAGCUGGUCUGAGAGGAUGAUCAGCCACACUGGAACUGAGACACGGUCCAGACUCCUACGGGAGGCAGCAGUGGGGAAUAUUGGACAAUGGGCGCAAGCCUGAUCCAGCCAUACCGCGUGGGUGAAGAAGGCCUUCGGGUUGUAAAGCCCUUUUGUUGGGAAAGAAAAGCAGCAGGUUAAUACCCCGCUGUUCUGACGGUACCCAAAGAAUAAGCACCGGCUAACUUCGUG
rnacentral:rRNA from 1 species